rfam:Oryza nivara chromosome 2, whole genome shotgun sequence.
AAAAAGACAAACCCUGGGUUUCCGUGUCUAACGUUUAACUGUCCGUCUUAUAUAAAUUUUUUUUAUAAUUAGUACUUUCAUUGUUGUUAGAUGAUAAAACAUGAUUAAUACUUUAUGCGUGACUUGUCUUUUUAAUUUUUUUUUAUAAUUUAAUAAGACGGACGGUCAAACGUUGGACACGUAAACUCAGGGAUUGUCUUAUU